GGUCUCUUCAGUCCUUCUGAGGUCAAUCAGAUUUAACUUAUUUGUGAUUUUACUAAUUUUUUAUAUUGAUUCUGCAUUGGUCAUUCUGGUGACAAAUAAAUAUUCUGUUUGUGACAAUGCAGACAGCAUAUGCUGUGCAUGUCAAUAACACAGCAAAGUUUGUUGAGUAUGAUAAGUUUAUCCCUUCUUAAUUUGGUGCUUUAUAUUGGCUGGCAAGAAAGUUAAAUGACGGUUGAUUAGCUUAAGAAAAUGAGUAUGUUUGCUAGCAUGUGAUGGAUCAUUUGUAUUAGGGAAGAGAGGAAUGCUAUUCAGAAAAUUCAAGUUAAAGAAUUAUACUUGUUUUCAUUCUUGUAUGGAUAUUGAAAUGCAAAACAUUUUCAAUGCUUAGGUGGCUUUGCUGGAGUGGACCGAUGACUUAGAGG
rnacentral:misc_RNA from 1 species